rnacentral:rRNA from 1 species
AUUGAACGCUGGCGGCAUGCCUUACACAUGCAAGUCGAACGGCAGCACGGGAGCAAUCCUGGUGGCGAGUGGCGAACGGGUGAGUAAUAUAUCGGAACGUGCCCAGACGUGGGGGAUAACGUAGCGAAAGCUACGCUAAUACCGCAUGUGAUCUGUGGAUGAAAGCGGGGGAUCGCAAGACCUCGCGCGUUUGGAGCGGCCGAUAUCAGAUUAGGUAGUUGGUGGGGUAAAAGCUUACCAAGCCUACGAUCUGUAGCUGGUCUGAGAGGACGACCAGCCACACUGGAACUGAGACACGGUCCAGACUCCUACGGGAGGCAGCAGUGGGGAAUUUUGGACAAUGGGCGCAAGCCUGAUCCAGCAAUGCCGCGUGCAGGAUGAAGGCCUUCGGGUUGUAAACUGCUUUUGUACGGAGCGAAACGGCUUUCUCUAAUACAGGGGGCUAAUGACGGUACCGUAAGAAUAAGCACCGGCUAACUACGUGCCAGCAGCCGCGGUAACAC